CAAAAAUGAAAAGCUUGUGUUACAAAAUGAGAAAAAAAAAAUACUGACAGACCGGUCAUAGUCCUAGAAUGUAAAAUGUAGAAAAAAACAACAACAUAUACUUACAAUUCUUAUUAUAGCUGGAUCCCCUUAUUUUCCCUUUUGUUUUUUUGCAAAGUUCUGUAGGUCUUUCCAGUUCAAAGCAGGACCAUUUGCUCAGUGAAAGUCUUUGCGUUUGGUAGGCUCAGAUGCGUACUAGGGACACGAGAAGGGAGCAAUUUUUUCCCCCCCCAUUUUAAGUGUUAAAAACCAUAGCCAAAGUGCGGUAUCUCUGGAGGCUGAAGCUUAGCAGGAACGAGAGCUGUCCGAUUACUGCUGCGGGCUGCGACUCGCGAGUGUCUGAGGACGAAGGGGGGAAGAGAGAGAGAGAGAAAAGCAGCAAUCUGAAACAGCAAGAACUGCUCCGUGGUGUUUCACAGGAAGACUUUAGGCUGGAAGAGGCACUGGGGAGUUAGCUCUGAGCACCAGGCAGUGCUACAUCAGUCCUCCGUAUGUCAUUCACUCACAGCUUUAAGCAAUAUAGCCCUUUCCAGAUUGUAUCAAUGAUCCUAAGACAAUGAAAGAGCAGAUCCUUUAUCCAUUGCGCUUGUUUGUAGAAUCCUGUGGUUCUGCUCAUGCACCCUAAGGGCUUAAUACCCCCCCUACCACCACCACCACCACCACGUCCCCCUGUUUUUGUUUUUCUAGUGGAAACCACAGCUUUUCUCUCGUGUUGGCCUUACUGGUUUCAGUCUGACAAAGGACCUCAGCACUGAGAUCUAAGUUGUGCUCUCACAUAAAUGCAUUAUGUAAAUCAGCGAGUCCCGGCAACUGGGGCAGACGGCUGGGUCUCAGAAGCUUAGUGGAAGCGCUCCAUCAACAAGUAGCUGCUACUGCUGUCUGUAAGACCAGACGAAGUGUCCUCUGGUCUGUGGCACCCCGGACGAAAAAAGUUCUACCCUCAACCCAGAACCUGCUUUUUAUGCAGAGUCACAACAGCCAUUUCCUGGAGGAGAGGCACCACCAGGCUCUGGAACCCUGGAGAUUUAUUUUCUCCCUUUGGGAAUGUCUGCUUUUCUCUUUUCCAUGUGCAAUGCUAUACUGUACCUGCUCAUGAAACAUCUGUUGUACAUAUUUUUGCAAAGCACUCUGUGGCACUUUGUUGUGAAGGGCGCUAUAACAAACAAAGAUUGAUUGAUUGAUGUCUAUAACAAACCGUAAAAUGCACGCAAGAUUACCAUAUGAUUUCCCCACGGUUCCAAAAUCCCAAUAUGCAUGCUUUACAUUUUCCUGCAUCUGCUCUGCCAUUUUUGCAAAUAGUACCAGCUGCUCAACCAGAUAAGAAUUCAGGCUGUCAGACAUUUUGAAUAAUUUUACUAAAGUUGGACCAUCUAUGCGGAUAUUAUGAUGUGCAUUAGGAGAUAAUUAUUUUCAAUUCUUGUGCAAAUUGUGGAACCCAAACUGAAUUAUAAGAGUUCCACAUUUAAAGGUAGCCUAUGUUUAGUAUCCCAAUUUCAAGUUCUCUGAAACAGCUUCAUGAAAUGAAAAUUGUCUUACAAACCAAAACAGAAAAACAGCUAUUAUCUUAUAUAAGCAACAACUUAAAUAUUUUCACUCAACAGUAUUAACUAAAAUAUUGCCUAAAACAAUCUUGGAUUAGAAGACAUUUAAAACUUGGAUGAAAAUCUGAAAUGGCAGCAUUUGUAAUGUUCUAAUUUAAAAUACAAUUAUUUUGCUUUAAAUGGUAAUUACACAAAUUUCAAAGUAUUUCAAUUACUUUGCAGACUGAUUUGGUUUUCUGUCAUUAGCGUAAGCUCAGGAUGUUUCUGAGAAUAGAUUUAUUUUAUCAACUGUACAAAUAAUAAUAAAAAACAUGGGUGACACUGCAUUUUAAAUAAAAACUGAAUUUAAAUCCUAGU
ensembl:lincRNA